AUUGAACGCUGGCGGCAGGCCUAACACAUGCAAGUCGAGCGAGCGGCGGACGGGUGAGUAAUGUCAGGGAAACUGCCCGAUGGCGGGGGAUAACUACUGGAAACGGUAGCGAAUACCGCAUACCAUCAGAUGUGCCCAGAUGGGAUUGGCUAGUAGGUGGGGUAACGGCUCUCCUAGGCGACGAUCCCUAGCUGGUCUGAGAGGAUGACCAGCCACACUGGAACCGAGACACGGUCCAGACUCCUACGGGAGGCAGCGGUGGGGAAUAUUGCACAAUGGGCUCAAGCCUGAUGCAGCCAUGCCGCGUGUGUGAAGAAGGCCUUCGGGUUGUAAAGCACUUUCAGCGGGGAGGCGUUACCCGCAGAAGAAGCACCGGCUAACUCCGUGCCAGCAGCCGCGGUAAUAC
rnacentral:rRNA from 1 species